UGCCCCAUGGCUGAGUUGGUUACAGCGUCCGACUGUUAGCUUCGCUUCACAACAAGCAAGCAAGCAUCAUCGGAAGGUCGUGAGUUCGAGCCUCACUGGGGCAG